GGAGGCUAAAUCACACAGGCAUGCACACACACAGUUUAGUAGUUGAAUUACUCUCUGUCGGCUUGUCGCCCAGCCGGGGUUUCAGACUCAGUAAAAUAAGGAAUGGAGCUUCCUUUCCUUACCUCAGAGCCUCGCUGCCACUCCAGCACAGUAAUUACCUCGUCCUUCUUUACUGCUAAUGAGAAGGUAAAAUAUGAGCUUCUGGCAACUGCAGUCAUUUGCGACCCUGGCUCGCUCCUGGCAGGAGUGGAGAGGGAGAAGGAGAGAGACUAAUUUCUACCCAGAAGCCACCUCUGAAUGGUGCCAUCCAUCCUUAACCCACCUGUACAAGUUAUCCAGGGUUACCCCAGGUCUGUGUCUGGAUAAUGUUACACUGAGUUGGAUGAGCAGUUUGCUGGAGUGAGCACUUUCUUGGGUAAAUGAAAACAGUCAGACUCUUGAUACUUCCCGACAAACUAUAGCCUCUUAGAAAAGAUCAUAGAGUGGGUGUUCUGGGUUAGGUUUUCAUUACUGUAGUACUGUGAUAUAGAAAGUACUAGUGUUACAUCAAUCACUGCCUUUUGAACCUGUCUGCUAAGGCUUGCAGUUUGGUGUCAUGGUGUUUGGGACUGGUGAUUCGUUUUAGACACUGUACACUCUAAAAACUCUUGGGUUAUUUCUUCAACCCAAUUCCUGGGUUAUAUGUGUUGAGUUAAAUUUCUUGGUUAUUUUUCAGAUCCAUACCCAUUUCGCGGGUCAUAUGGAUUCUAUCGUAACCCAAUUUGAGCGUUUUUUAAAUGGGUUAAUAAUUAUGGGUUAUUUUUCUGAAAGUAACCCAAUGAUUGGGUCAGAACGCUGGGUUCAAUGGACUCUACGUGGUUCCUAGGCCUAAUGGCAAUUAAAGUGACCUUGUGAAAUUUGACCUUGAUUUGGGGUUGGAAUCCCUCAUGAGACACAUCUGUAAGGAGCAAACUACAUCCACCAGUUUGGGUCCUUAGGUAAGACCCUUAACGCUAUGGCCUACAACCAGAUAGAUAAAAGUACAUGGGAAAAUAUGGUACAGGUUGUAAAAGCUAAGCUCCCCAAAUGCAUCUAUCAAUCUAUCCCAAGAUCAUGAGUCAAAUUAACUUAAACAUUUAAACAUUGGGUUAACUUGACUCUUAAAAAGGGUUAUUGAGUCAACCCAAAAUUUGGGUUAAUUUGAUUAACCCAACAUUCUGGGUCAAAAUAACCCAACAAGUAGUUGGUCCUUUUUCAACCCUGGUGUUAACCCAGGGGUUUUUAGAGUGUAACAUCAACUAUAAGCUUUUGAACCCACUUAAGAGUUUUUGAGUGUUGAUGGUGAUCACUUUGAGGUCAACCUUAAGUUUUUUUAAACCCUCCUCUCAAGAUAAGACAUUGGUUUUUUGGUGUUUUGUUGAUAGAGAUUGAGUUGUCAACAUUUUGCUUUUGAACCCUUAAAGCGUCUUUGGUGGUAUUUUGGGUGGUACUGUGGUAGAAGUCAGUUUUGCAUCAACCAGCUGUUAAACUGACCUGGAGUUUGGUAACUUAGACUCAACGUCUUUAGUCUGGUGGUAGCUAUCUCAAGGUCAAAUCUGAGCCUUUGAACUUUCUUCUUAAAACCUGGAGUAAAUGAGUUUAAUUUUGGUGAUUUAAGUUAGCUUUUGAACGCCCCAUUUGAAGUCUGUAGUUGGUGGUUUUUGAGAUGCUCCUAAAGUUUGCAUCAUUAGCUUUUAAAUGUGUUCAGGAGCUUGAUACUGGUUGGUUUUGGUGGUGUGUUUCAUUCGCUUCCUCCUCCUCUGCUUUUAAACCCAUCUUUUUUUGGGGGGUGAAAGCAACUCUAGCUUUGUUCUGGACUUUUGAGCCUCCCUUUUUGAAGCUUUAAGUUCGGCAUUGUUGCAUUUCAGAGGUAUUUUGGCGGUAACUUGUCAACGGCCAAUUAUUCACUUUUUAAACUUCCUGUUUCAAAGCUUGGUGUGCGUUCUUUUGGUGUUGUUACAGUGGUAGCAGCAUUGAUCUGAACCCUUUAAUUAUAGCUGUAUGACUGGCUUUUUUGGCAUCAACCAUUAGCUUUUGAAUCUCAUAUUUAAAGCUCAGUGUUUGGUAGUUCUGUGGUUGUGUUUAGAACCAUAGUUGGCCAUUUCUGAUCCCUGAUUAUUGUUUUAUUUCAGAUUACAGGCCACCCGAGUUCCAAUUUGCUAAUUAAAACUGUAUACAAACACCAAGCUUGUUAUUUUACUGUAAAUUGUACCAUUUAUUACAAAGUGACAAUAAUCCUGCUUUGUCAGAACAAAUCUUGAUUGAUUUUUUUCAAUAGUUGGGAAAUUAGAACCAUUUUCUGGUCUGGUUUAGACAAUUUUGUCUUCCUUUCUGCUGGCUGUUAUAAAUAAUGCAGAUUUGAAGCACUUGUGUGUGGUCCUCAGUUUGAAAAACAGAGGUGAUAUGCUGAGUUAUGAUUUCAAAGUGAACUUUAACUCUUCUUUAGUGACUCACAACAUUAGGAUCCCUCUCAUGACCUUCUUCUGUGAUCUUUCCUUCACUUCCAUGCCCACAUGCUAACACAAAAAAGUCAGACUCUUUUAAGGGUGUAAUAAAACUCAGCGUGAUUUAAGAGCUAUGCUAGAUGACCCCAAUGUGUGAAUUUGACAGAAAUGUGAUCUCUCAAAGGCACCUUUCACCUCCUAUCAGCAACAAAACAUGAACAUUCAAACACCAUCAAAAUGAAAUGCACGCUUUAUGGGCCUGUAAGACUCUUUAUUCACCAGGCGAUCUAUAUUUCCAUGUCAUCGCCGCUCUCCUCUAUUCCAUUAUCAUUUUUUAUCUGAUAGGAAACAAAUCAAGGGUUUCCCAGUGUCAGGAACAAAAGCCAUUUUUGUGUUGAAGGUUAUAGAAAAGCAUCGUCACGUAAGGGAAAUGAUUAUAUUGGUGCCCUUCGGAUAGACUCCAAUGUCACACAUGAGGAGACAAAGAAUUUCAUCACACAGGCUGAGCUUUUUUGCUUUUUUUUUUUGACAGCAAUCAGAUCCAUUUUAUUCUCUUUGUGGGGCUUCGUAUUUGCUAUAAAAUCUUAGAGAUUGACUCCAAAACCUUACCACAGGGGUGAAAAAAUCCUAUUAGAUUGAAAACAGCAAGAGACGUAAAAAAAAAAAGAGAAAAAAAUCGUAUUAGCAAUAAUAACAGAUUGCAGAAUUCACUGCGUCUGGGAUGACUAUUUUAGUGAAAAUGAUACAGCCAGGGUAUGAGAAAUUAAACCCAUUUCAGAGGGUGGUGUCAAUGCUGAUGUUUACUGGUUUUACAGACACUUCCAUUAGAAAACCAUUAGCAAGGCGAUUACUAUGAUUAACUCAAAAUUGACCCACUGCGUCCAUUCACUAAUCCCACUGACCAUAAUGCAAUGCAGUUACCAUAUGACUCGUUUCGGAGCAUUUAAGUGGAUGAACUUUGCACCCCGGUCCUGCUGGAGUUAUCGGGGGGGAUUAACUGGGGUUAGAAACCAAAGAUUGGAAGAUGUACCAUGUCAAUACGAUGUUAUUGCAAUAAAACUGAUUGGCCUGACCUCUGCGCUUCGACAAGAGGAGCUUCGUUCAGCCGGGGCAAUUACAGCCAGAUAACAGGCGGCUGAAUGAAAAUGUUACAGGAGCUCUCUCAGCUGUUAUCAGUCUUAAUUUAGGCAGACUUUUGGGUCAUGGUUCACCUUUAAGAGGUCAAGAAAUCAAAAUCUAUUAAUUCUACACAAUAAUAAUAAUAAUAAUGUAGAAAAUUUUGUAAAAUAUUACCUGAUUUCAACUGAUUACAAGCAAACCCAAUUGUGUUGCUAUAAAUCUCUAAGUUCUGUAAAACUGAUUUUUUUUUUUUUUUUCUUGUCUGCACAAGAUAAAAUCUUGAAAUUAUUUGUCUCGGUGCAAAGAUUCAGCAAUAACAUCGAAAACAGUAUUUGCUCAAAUAAAACUAGAAAAUUCUUGUGAUAAAUGGCGUCAAAUUGAAAACGGAUGGCCAACAAGAUAACUAUCUUGUGAACACAGGAUGAUAAUUUGUUUUGCACAGUAGUUAGACUUGCAUUUGAGCUGAUAAUCUCCUCCCAUUGAAUAAUUUUCUUAUCUGCAAUAGAUGUUUUUACCUUAAUAAUGUUAUCUUGCAAAAUUGCAUUCAAAAUCAUCCAACAUGAUGAUUGUCUUGUGUGAACAAGCUAACUUGUUCCAUUUACGUAUCCAUCUUUUCUACAUAAUACGAUGACUUUUCCCACAAGUUAUUCCGUGAUCCAACUGAUCUGUGCUCACAAGAUAAAAAAUAGUCUUUAUGUGAUCAUUUUCUUUUGUGCACAGGAUAACUUAUGGUGGGUUCCAGUUACCUCUGUCGUUGGAUGUCAGGGAACGGGAAUGGGAAUGACGCUGCACCCGAGUUGACGGCGUUCCAGUUAACAAGUGGGUAAACCAAGAUGGAUGCAAACAGUUAGCGGUUGUUAGCUGUUGGUUACAAUUGUCAGCUGUUGUUGGCUGAUGUCAGUUGUUAUUGAUACCAGUUGUAAACAACGCAUAACACAGUAUUUUACUCUUACAAACACCAUAUCAAUCAUAUGGGCAGUACAACAUAAACCACGUAUUCAAUUUCCCAAAAACAAAACAAAAGUGCUAAUAAAUAAUACAUUAUGAGAGCUUUUACUGUUACUCUUUGCUGUUGAUGCACUGUGCUGCCAUCUUGAAUUAUGACGUUGUCGUCAAGUCAGGGUUGGUGAGGAUUGUCCAACUUUCUGAAUUGGAAAUCCGACUUCAAGGGGACAUUCCAGAUGAAUUUCCAACUCGGAGCUCGGAAAUCCCAAUGAGUACAACUGGAACGCAAGGUUAUUCCUGAAGAUAGUUCUGAUGUGUGCCCAAGAUGAUAACCUGUUCCAACAAGACAACGAUCUUUGAUAUUGGCAUUUCAGUAUUCUACUUUAGCCUAGAGGCACCAGAGGAAUCCAUCAUGUUUUCUGGUGGUUGAAUUUAGCAUCAGUUUCCAGCUAGUAUCAUGCAACAUUGUUUGCUAAUGUUUGUCAAAGUCUUACAGUGACAAAUUUCUGAACAUUUGUUAUAAAUUCUGCAGCUUAAUUUCUUUAUUUGUAGGAUUUUGAGAUUGUAUUUGACAUGUUUCCAGUAGGUCUGGAUGAAGUGGUGAAUGUUUUCCUCACAACAGCUGUUCCAUGAGGAGAUUUUUGGGGAUUAUGUUGUUAAUGCCACAACAGACACCAUAUAAAUCCUCAGAAACACACUUGAUGUUGAAACUGGUAAAUGUACAGCAUUAAUGCAUUUUUACACUUAAUACAGCAGCAAAAAGCCACCAACUCAGCCCUGUUCGAUUCCUCCCACUUUACCUCAGUAUUGCUUAUAACUUUAACUCCAAAUGCAGAUUUCUUGAGUCAAUUAGAGAAACACUAAAGGAUAAAAGGCUACAACUCAGAGAGGCACUUGCACUUAAUUGAUCGUUGUCUGAACAAUGCCAACGCACAGUGAUGUACAAGCUUCUGUUUAAUUACAAGCAUUGUGGAGGCGGGAUUGUAUCAGAGUUCAUGGAGAUUUACUUAAUUUAAAAGGACAUGGCACAUAGAAGCUUGUCUGGGAGAGAAACAAGAUGUGAAAAUCUGCAAAUACCUGGAGAAAACGACCAAGUGACCUGGCAACACUAAUUCUAAAGAUUCUGAGAAUGUGUCCAAGUCAGGCGAGACAAGCACAGUUAAAACGCCAGCAAACAAUUUGGUAGAAGUUUUGGCGCUGUGGGCAGGUGCAAAGUUCUGUUGAUAAAGGAAACAAGCAUCUCUGUGAAGCUUGGCUGCAAUUUGCAUUUCUGUACCACAUCCUGCAGUGAGUCCAACCAUGGAGCCAGCUUUUUACCACUUUCGAACUUCAGCCGUUGCCUUGGGUGGGAUGUAUACAAGUAUUGGUAUAAUAUGACAUGUAUGUCUUUUAACGUAAAUUCUUACAUGCAAAUGGGAUCUGGUUCCACUCUGAGCCAAGCCGAUGACAAAUCAUCACCAUGGACGACCAAUUACUUGUUUAAAAGGGUGCCUCUACAAGACUGUAUUGAAAACAGCAUAUUGUUAGGUAGGCGGGGAACACUUUGAAAUGCUUUAAGUGCAUAUAGGUUUUCAAAAGCAGAGGAAAAUAAGGUUUCAGCUCUUUAUAGCAAAGUGGCUUUUUCAUGCAACUGGAAUAAUAGCUUGGUCAAACAGAGGUGGCGUUCUGGUUCAGCCUAAAAGACAUCCUCAGGCUGCAUCUUGAGGGACUAAAACUUCAGGUUCAGGUGCGCUAAAGCUGGAAAAGAGUUAUAUCUGUUCUGAAAGGCCAGGUGAGAAGGUGGGGUUAAAAGUCCAGAACUGAAUAAAGAGCAGCGAUAGAUUUUAAUUCAAGUUUGCAGUCUCUGAGAUCCAGUCAAUUCCUGCAUGAAGUGGGAGCAAAUGUCACUCCGUUGGCUUUGAUUACUGUGCGACAUUUAAAAAGUUAGAAAACACCGUCCUGUUUUGACCAAGCCUCGUUCAGACCAUUACAGGCCGGGAAUGUUUCUUCAUCUGUUGAUUCCAAGCCUGAAGGUCAUGACCAGGACAAGAAAUGUAAAUCUGGUGGUCGUUUAUUGGUAGAAUACAGUAAAAUAGGGCAAAGCUUCACCAAAAUGCUUGAUGAGUGGAUUAAACCGUUCAACCGACCCUUCAGCAAUCAACCAGAGCGCAAAUAUUCAAUAAUUCUGUUGCUUUUUCCUCAAAUCAUGAUUCAGCACAGCACCAUAAGUUUGCACAUCUUGACACUGUACUUAAUCCUCAAUUAAAAUGUAUCAUCAUUCCAGUAUACAUCCGAAUGCAAGAAAGAAAGAAAUUGUUUAGCCCUGGAACAACCCCAGCCUGAUGAAACCUCGGCGCUCCAAAGCAAAGCAGAUCAGAAAAUGACAUCUCCCUAUUCAGAUUGACUGAUUCCUGCCGAGGCUUGCGCGCAGAAAGCGCACGCUCCGGGCUGCUCAUACAGAAGGCUAACCACACGUAGAUAAGGCCGAACCCGACUGGUGACACGCCUGGCUUGGAAAAGGGGAGGAAGAAAGCAAAUCACUCAGGACAAUCUAUUCCCUCCGCUGCCAGUCACUUCACUGCCGUCAAUUCAAUACCGGCUGCUCCAGAGCGACACAGUGGCCUCUGAAUACCAUUUCCAUAUCAUUAUUCCUACAUAAAUGGCAGACCGCUUGCUGUUUCAUCAACCUUUUGGACCACAUGCUGGUAAAUAAAUAAACAAAGUUCUCAGGUGUAUAUAUGGAAAGGGUGAGGAGAAGCUAAUGGGAUGGAGAGGCCCGCAAAUAGGGACCAGGAAGUGCUUUGUAGCUGUGGCUGGCUUUAUUGUCGGACGGGUUGACCCCCAGUUGAAUGAACAUUUGUCAUUGGGGAAGGGGGGGCGGUUUUCUCUUUGUAGGUUUGCGCAGGUGGACGGACUAAAUGGGUGCAAAAAUGCAAUUCUCUUGGGGGAAUGAGGGUCUUUUCAAGUCCAGGACUGGCAUGUUUGUCUUGUUUAUUAAAAGAUAAAUAUUAUAGAAAAUGAGUGUUUGUGCACUAAACAACCAUGAGUGGAACAGUUGCUGUGGUUACCAAUAAGACUUUUCUUGUUGGUCCAUGCCCAGAAUGAAAAAAUGCCCCAUCUAUAGCUCGUUGUACACUUCAGCUAUUGUACAAGCAGCUAUGUAAUCUACUAGGAAUAAACAACAACCUGAACCUGAACGACCUGGAAAUAUUUUGUUUUAUAAAUGUUCCGUUUUUUAGUAAAGUUAAAGCUCCUGUGUGGAACUUUCAGACAGAUGCCCCCUGUGGCCACUUUUGUCCUCUACCUCCUUAAAUUGCAUCUUGACAAAAAAAAAAAAAGAUCCAAAUUACUGGCUUCUAAAAGUCAAAUGUGAAUGUUUUAUGUGGGAUUUAUAAAUAAAUAAAUAAUAAAAAAAAAAAGGGGUUGCUCAACACCUGCCCCCUUACACCGCUUUCAGGUAUUAAAAAUUGUGACUUAAAUUUCGUCAGUCUUGUCACUGAUGGUGUUGUUUGCUUUCAUUUAUCAUAAAAAGGCAUUAUUUAGAAUUUUAGUCAAUUUCUCAAAUGUCAAAAACAAAAAAAAAACAAACAAACAAAAAAAAAAAAACAGGGCUCGGUCAACACCUGCCCCCUUUACACUAGUUUCAGGCAUUGAAAAUUAUGCCCCCUGUGGCCAAUCUUGUCCUCUGCAUCGUUAAAAUGGCAUCUUGACAAAAAAUAAAUAAAUUAACUGGCUUUUAAAAGUGAAAUGUGAAUGUUUUAUGUGGGAUUUAAAAAACAAAACAAAAACAAAAAAAUACAAUAAUAAUAAUAUUAAUAAUGAUAAUAAUAAUAAUAAUAAUAAUAAUAAUAAUAAUAAUAAUAAUAAAAAGGGCUUGGUCGACACCUGCCCCCCUUACACUGCUUUCAGGCAUUAAAAAUUCUGACUUAAAUUUCGUCGGUCUUGUCACUGUUGGUGUUACAGCUGUAGCUGUAAACCAAAAUAAAGGAAGUGUUCUUCAAUUGAGCUGUUUUCUGCUACAGUUAAAGCCCCAGUGCUGUUCUCAUUUCAAAAGGUCCUGAACCACUGGUUUAGACACGACCCAUCCCCCAGCUCUCCAAGCUUCCAGUGUGAGGCUUACUAACUAAUGGCCACAAGUUAACAUCUGUCCAUCAGGGAGAGUUUCCAGAGGAGUUAAAAACAGUCCUGGAUCUAUUACAGAUGAACUGCAGUGCCGACUGUAAUUAUAUC